GGAGGGGGCGAGCGUUGUUCGGAAUCAUUGGGCGUAAAGGGCGUGUAGGCGGCCUGACCAAGUCGGGUGUGAAAUCCCUCGGCUCAACCGAGGAAUUGCACUCGAUACUGGUUGGCUAGAGUCCGGGAGGGGGUAGCGGAAUUCCCAGUGUAGCGGUGAAAUGCGUAGAUAUUGGGAAGAACACCGGUGGCGAAGGCGGCUACCUGGACCGGAACUGACGCUGAGGCGCGAAAGCCAGGGGAGCGAAUGGGAUUAGAUACCCCGGGUAGUCCUGGCUGUAAACGAUGGGCACUUGGUGUGGUGGGUACUGACCCCCCUGCCGUGCCGUAGCUAACGCGAUAAGUGCCCCGCCUGGGGAGUACGGUCGCAAGGCUG
rnacentral:rRNA from 1 species